CUCUCACCAGGCUGCGCGCUGGCGGGUCGGUGCACAGGGACGGGGUCGCCGCCCACGCGCGCUUGGUUCAGGGAGCCCAGGCUGUCCCUACCCGCGGCUACAAAAGCUCGCCGAGUCUUCCUGUCCACCCAAUCGCCCCACAUGUCAGCGGUUGGUCGCCUCGCGGUGCAGUGCUGGGCACGCGAGCCCCUCCCGCAGUCAUUCUCAGCACAAGCACCAGCCUGGAGCCCCGCAGCGACAGAGCUGAGAGCCCCCAAGCCGCAGAGGUCGUGCGGAGCAGAAGAGGAGACCAAUGGGGAGCAUUGGAAUGAUUUGGUUGCAAGCAUACUACACUACUUGUAAACUGCAGACACAGGCUUAAAAAAAGUGAAAAACUAACCAUGCAAUAAAGAAUGGAAUGAACCAUGAAGCUGUUUCUGUGGCCAGUCAUGUUUUUGAAGCAUAUCCCAUGCUAAUUUCUAGAACAGAAGAAACACACGUGUUCUUGUGUGUAAACCCAGUCCAUGGAAGAGACCGUCUGCUUGUCCCUCCUGAUCUCUGGGCCCAGACAACCAGUAGUCACCAUUCCAAGUGAGGGGUGGCUGCAACUCUACAGCCCCGUUCGUCUCUCCUCACUGUCAAAGCUGCUGAGACCCCAGACUCGACACUUGAAAGAAACCCAUGUCUGUGAAGCACUUGUGGACCAUUCAAGAUUGUGGAAGAAUCACUCAAGAGAAGGAGAUAGCAAUAUUUGCAGAUAUGCAAACUGGCCCCUUGCAUGCACAUCCUGGAGCACGUCCUGGAGCCUUUAGAGGAGACGGCUGCUGCUGUUCCAGUCUCUCCUUAGGCAGACUUGAGUUUCUACCCACUCUUCCCAAGCAGCCGCCCCUCCGCACCCGAGCGAGCCAAAGACCUGGCGGGCUGAGUACUCACUGCGCGCUGGACACAUGCUGAGCCGGCACUGCAGGGACACAGGGCGAGCCGCUGGAUGCAGACCUGUGGCCGCGGCAGAAAUGGAGUCUUGCUAUGUUGCUCAGGCCGGUCUUGAACUCCUGGUCUCAAGACAGUCCUUCCUGGGAUUAUAGACAUGAGCCACCACACCUGGCCAAGAUUUUCUUUUCUCUAGCUUAUGUUAAGAAUAUAUAAUACAUAUGACAUACAAAAUAUAUGUUAAUUGAUUGUUUUAUGUUUUCAGUAAGGCUUCCAGUCAACAGUAGGCUAUUAGUAGCUAAGUUUUUGGGGAGUUAUAUGCAAAAGUUAUAUGCAGAUUUUCGACUGAGAGAAAGAUCCAUGUACACAUUGUUCAAGGGUUAAUUGUGCUGUAUAUAGAAUAAAAAAAAAUUUGUAACCUCACAGGACAAAAUAAUGAAAAUAAAAAUAAAGAUUAAAAUAGGUAGAAUUUUUUAAAAUUAAGAAACUCACCUUUAUAAUAAACAACAAUAAUGUUGAACAAUAAUAAUGUUGAAAGUAAUCUUAUAAAUAUGUUUGUUGGAUGGGUGGGAAUCCAAGGAAGCUUCAAUCUCUAAACCUUUAUCUUUAGCUGAAAAGGAAUUCAUCUAUAACCAAAUAUAAAAACAGUGAUAAUAGCUUAUAACUAGUAAGUUUCCUGGAUAUGCUAGGCACUAUAUUCAGUAUUUUAUUUGCAGUUUUAUCAUUUAAUUUUCACAUUUAUCUUAGGUAGGGGGUAUUAUUAUUGUCCCCAUUAGGCUUGAGGAAAGUGUAGUUCAUAGAGGUAAGAUUUGUGCUUAAUUCCAGAGCUUGGGUUCUUAACAUCUGUGCUAUAUGCUCUUUCAUUAACUAUGAAGAAAUCUGAAAUCAAAUGCAAUAAUAAUACCUCAUCCAUUUUCUAAUAGAUUUCUACAUUAACCAUUGCAGUGUAGGUUAAUAUGGGCCAGAUGCUCUCUGAUUGCAGGCGCACACAUUCCAGAGGCCCCACACCUCAUAUUCCCACAGCUCCUAUCUCUCUUCAUGCACAAAUUUACUUGACCCUGGACUGGAUGUACUAUAUAAAGGCUGCUUCAUAUUUGCUUGGGAUUUUAAUAUUCUGUCUGAAGGUCUUUCACUUAUUCACCAUGUGGUGUGUGAUGUCUGCUUUUGAAUGCAUGUGCCCAGAGACCACGGAGUGUGUCUG
rnacentral:lncRNA from 1 species